ACCGGCGGCUCGAGUGGUGGCCACUAUAAAUGGGCUUAAAGCGUUCGUAGCUGGCUUGUUAAGUCCCUUGGGCAAUCUUCCGGCUCAACCGGAAGGAGUCUCAGGGAUACUGGCAGGCUACGGACCGGAAGAGGUGAGAGGUACGCCAGGGGUAGGAGUGAAAUCCUGUAAUCCUUGGGGGACCACCUGUGGCGAAGGCGUCUCACCAGGACGGCUCCGACAGUGAGGAACGAAAGCUGGGGGAGCAAACCG
rnacentral:rRNA from 1 species